UAAUCUAUCUAUCUCUUCAUGCCAUUCGCGUCACCUUUUCAGUUGUUCCGCGCUAUAUAAUAGUAGUAAGCUUUAGAUCUGUCAGUCACGAGAAAAGCCUUUCUCAACAGCUGCUAUCGUCCUUUCAUAUCUUUUCAUUCACCUUUUUCUUUUCUUUUUUGAGAUUGGACUGGAUUCUCUGUUGCUUAUGUCAGCUGCACCAAAACAAUGCUUCUACUGUUUUCUUCUAGAAGCGUACACCAUGGGCGAAAAAGAGAAUGGUAAUUCCGACCGAUUUUUUGGUCUCA
rnacentral:lncRNA from 7 species